rnacentral:rRNA from 1 species
GUGUCAGCAGCCGCGGUAAUACAGAGGGGGCAAGCGUUAUUCGGAAUUAUUGGGCGUAAAGGGCGCGUAGGCGGCCCUUCAAGUGGUAGGUGAAAUCCCUCGGCUCAACCGAGGAGCUGCCCGCCAAACUGAAGAGCUUGAGUCCGGGAGAGGUGAGUGGAAUUCCCAGUGUAGCGGUGAAAUGCGUAGAUAUUGGGAGGAACACCAGUGGCGAAGGCGGCUCACUGGACCGGAACUGACGCUGAGGCGCGAAAGCGUGGGGAGCAAACGGGAUUAGAAACCCCAGUAGUCC